CUUCCUCCUCCUCCUCCUCUGCCUCUUCUUCCUCUUCUUCCUCCUCCGCCUCCUCCUCCUCAGCUGGCUCUGCUUUCUCAGAGAAGCAAUCCGGAUCGCCCGCUUCUUGCCUCUCUCCUUCAGCUGCCCCAGAGUCCUUGCCCUCUGAGGAUUUGGUAGGACUGGAAGCCAGAGGCCCCAGGGGGACUGAGGGUCAUUCGAUGGUCGUGUACCGCGUGGGUCACAAACGAACGGACGUACCCGAAGGAGAGUUUGCACAAGAAACACAUCAGGAUGGGCUUCCUCUUGCCGUAGAGCACAAAGCCAUCGAAUUUGGACAGGUCCACAUUGUUGGGAACAUCUUUGGAUACACAGGAGCUUUUGGCAGAACCGUCGCUGUUCAGGUGUCAAGAAAUGACAUCGUGACUACCUGUGAGAGACAGAUGACUCUGGGGUGGUAACAGUAGGAACCACUCACUGGCAGCAGGAUACAUUUCUGGGAGCAGAACUGCUGGCUCAAAAGUGAAGAACAUUUAUGACCCUGGCACGUACCAGCCUGUCCUCCAAGAAAGCCCUUCCAACUACCAUUUGCAAUAGUACAUAAGCAUUAAUUUUCCUGUACCUUCAACAGUGGAUAUUUAUUUGUUAAGAUUUUUAUAUGUCCAUUUGGCAGAUAGGAAAUGGCACCUUGUUUUAACUUACAUUGUCUGCUAGUCAGACAGAAUCCAUCUGCAGCUAUCUGUGAAUUGCCUGGGAUUUCUAUGGCGGGGAUACUGUCUUUUCCUGAGUGAUGAAUCAGAGGGCUUUAUGGGAUUUUACUGGCAAUCCCUGCCCCCUGACUCUUUGCCACCAGCCACUCUCCCGUGAGCUCCUGGACCAGACAGAGUCCCAGCUACUCACAUUGCAGCUCCCUCCACCCUCCUUCAGAUCUCAACUCCUUCCAACACUGGACUCUGCCCCCUGCCUCCCUUCCUCAACAGCACUCUUUCUAACCUCUGGGGAGUUCCUCCUCCCUGGUGUGAUGAUAAAGGACUACAGUGCACCAAUAAUUUUUGUGCUUCUCAUGUGCAGUGAAACUAACUGUGGAGUGUAAUGAAAAUACACAUAGAUGUCGGGCCCCACCUGGAGGACAGGAUCAGGUGCUCUGGAGGCACAGGCUGGGCAUCUGCUUCAGGUGGGCUAGAAGACCCUACCCCAAGCUGCAGUCUUCUCUCCAAGACCCUCUGUGUCCUCCUAGUCUUGGCCAAUGGCUUCUCCUCAUCCGUGUCCAUCUCCAAUCUCCCUUGUACUCCAAACUUCCAACCAACACUGGGCAUGUAGCUCAGUGGUAGAGCAUUUGCCUAGCAUGCGUGAGGUCCUGCCUGCCCCAGCACCAUACUCACACACAAAAGCAACUGCUGACCACCACCCCUCGAAAUCUCUCCACUUCUCUGACAUACUUUUCCAGCUCUCCUCCUCCUUCUCUGGUCUCCACACUGCCUGCCCUCUUCCCAUUCCUACAGCUCUCCAGGAUACACUUACCCACUUACUGUAUUUGAUAAAAUUCACUACCAUUGCAACCCUCAGAAAUCCCUCUUCGUAGUUCGCCUAUAGUAUUUAAGUAUCAUCAUACUUUUUCCCCUUGGCUCUCUGCUCUUAACUCUGUGCAUCAUCUACCUUACCUACUUCUGUGGUUUCAAUUACUGAAAUUAUGAAUUGACUCCCAAAACAAAAAUUUCCAUUCUGGACUUACCACUUGAAUAUGCAUCUCCCUACUUUCAGGAGACCACAAGAUGUCUGUAAGUGGCUAGCUUUCCAACACUCAAAAUUCAGCCUGGCUCAACGUGUCCAAAGGGAACUGCCCCUCACUGCCUUAAUCUCUCUGGAAGGAACUUUCAAUUGUAGAAAACAGAAAGAAAAAAGCAAUUUAGACUUACAAUGAUGUGUUUAUCAGCUAACUUCCCUAUCCAAGAACCAGCUUCCAAAAUAGUCAAACUUAAACUCUCUGGACUGGUUUUCAAGUACUCUAAGAUCUAUCACCACUGGAUAGCAGUCUUUCUUAGUCGUGGAGUAAUCCCAAGACCCACCCCCCACCCCGCACCCAGGGCAGGGCCUGAAACUGAGUAUAAUACCAAACCCUAGAAUUUAAGGCCUUUUUCAUCUUAACAAAGCACUUACUCUCACACUGUGGCUGUAACUUUUGCAUUCGGAGGUGUGACAGCAAAACUUGUGUGAAUUUCUUUUCCCUUCUUCACAAUCUCAUGGGUGGAAAUUUCGUUCUCACCACAGAUCUUAGCAACCUCAACCUACAGAUUUUUUUUUUCUUUCCUUUAACUCAAGAAUUUUUGCCUUUUUAUUUAAAGGAGGUACUUUAAAGCUUUUCUCUGGAAUAUUCAAGUUGCCAGCAUUACUACUCUUGUGCUUUGGGGCUAUUAUUAAGUAAAAUAAGGGUUACACACAAGCACUGCAAUACCUUGAUAAUCGAUUAGAUAGGUGGAAAGACUACUCAGUGAUGAACAGGUAGACAGCGCAUACAGCAUGGAUACCUUAGACAAGGAGAUGACUCAUGUCCCCGAUGGGAUGGACUGAUACGGCGGGAGAUUUCACACUAUUCAGAACAGCAUGCGAUUUAAACUUAUAAGUUAUUUACUUCUGGAAAAUAAUCUAUUUAAUGUUUCAGGUCACCACUGGCCUCAGGUAACUGAAACUACAAAGAAAAACUAUAGCUAAGUUUUGGGACUUAACGUGCUAUUCAAUCAUCUGUUUCAUUUCUCUCCUCCUCAUCAUCUUCCUGCUCUUACGUGUUCUGGACUCUAUUUCUGCAGCCCCAGACUCUUCGAAUGUUCUUUCUCUUCCUCAACUAAUUUAUCCAAAUUUGAGACCUCCUUUAAGAAGCAUAAGCUUACAUUUACCUUAGGCAAUGAAAUCCUCUGCUGGGAGAGAACCCAGGGCCAUGUGCACGCUAGGCAAACACUACCACUGAGCCAUCACGUUCACAAAAAUCUGUCUCCUCUCUAUAUGCCUCAUAAUGUCCAGCAUACUGUUUGUCAUUAAAACAAUCUCUCUUGUUUCAUCUUGGUGGCUUUUAGCUCUACAACUUCGCUGUAAGCUGCCUGAGGGCAAAAAUCAGCUUGUGUCUACCUUCUAGCACAGUGCUGAGCAUAUAGUGGGGGACAGGGGACUAAAAUUCUAGGCGGCAUCUUAAAUAAGACUAGCAAGAGUGUACCAAUCUCAGCAAGCACUGUGGAGAUCAGUGUGGAGACACCUCAAAGGACUAGGACUGGAGGUCCCAUUUGACCCAGCUAUUCCCCUGCUGGGCAUCUUCCCCAAAGAAUUAAAAGAAUCAUACCACAGUGAUAUA